rnacentral:rRNA from 1 species
UACGUAGGGUGCAAGCGUUGCCCGGAUUUAUUGGGCGUAAAGGGCGCGUAGGCGGUCACGCACGUCCGUUGUGAAAUCGCUCGGCUCAACUGGGCGGGGUCAGCGGAUACGGCGUGGCUGGAGCAAGCUAGGGGGCAAUGGAAUUCCCGGUGUAGUGGUGGAAUGCGUAGAUAUCGGUAGGAACACCAGUGGCGAAGGCGGUUGCCUGGAGCUUUGCUGACGCUGAUGCGCGAAAGCGUGGGGAGCGAUCCGG